AGUGAACACUGGCGGCGUGCCUAACACAUGCAAGUCGAAGGAAGUGGCGAACGGGUGAGUGAUAUAUAGCUAAUUUGCCCCUUGCUAAAGGGCAACAGUUAGUAAUGAAUGCUAAUAUUCCAUAGGAAGGGAUGAGACUAUAUCAUAUCAGCUAGUCGGUGGGGUAACGGCCUACCGAGGCUAUGACGCGUAACUUGUCUGAGAGGAUGCUCAGUCACAUGGGGAGUGAGACACCGUCCAAACUCCUGAGGGAGGGAGCAGUAGGGAAUAUUGCCCAAUGGAUGAUGCCCUGACGCAGUCACGCCGCGUGGAGGAUGACACUGUUCGGAGAGUAACCUCCUUUUGUUAGGGAAGCGGUACCUAACGAAUAAGCACCGGCUAACUCCGUGCCAGCAGCCGCGGUAAUUC
rnacentral:rRNA from 1 species